rnacentral:rRNA from 1 species
UACGGGGGGGCAAGCGUUGUUCGGAAUUACUGGGCGUAAAGGGCUCGUAGGCGGCCAACUAAGUCAGACGUGAAAUCCCUCGGCUUAACCGGGGAACUGCGUCUGAUACUGGAUGGCUUGAGUUUGGGAGAGGGAUGCGGAAUUCCAGGUGUAGCGGUGAAAUGCGUAGAUAUCUGGAGGAACACCGGUGGCGAAGGCGGCAUCCUGGACCAACACUGACGCUGAGUGAGCGAAA